GACGAACGCUGGCGGCGUGCUUAACACAUGCAAGUCGAACGGAAAGGCCCUGCUUUUGUGGGGUGCUCGAGUGGCGAACGGGUGAGUAACACGUGAGUAACCUGCCCUUGACUUUGGGAUAACUUCAGGAAACUGGGGCUAAUACCGGAUAGGAGCUCCUGCUGCAUGGUGGGGGUUGGAAAGUUUCGGCGGUUGGGGAUGGACUCGCGGCUUAUCAGCUUGUUGGUGGGGUAGUGGCUUACCAAGGCUUUGACGGGUAGCCGGCCUGAGCGGGUGACCGGCCACGUUGGGCCGGAGAUACGGCCCAGACUCCUACGGGAGGCAGCAGUGGGGAAUAUUGCACAAUGGGCGGAAGCCUGAUGCAGCAACGCCGCGUGCGGGAUGACGGCCUUCGGGUUGUAAACCGCUUUCGCCUGUGACGAAGCGUGAGUGACGGUAAUGGGUAAAGAAGCACCGGCUAACUACGUG
rnacentral:rRNA from 1 species